rnacentral:rRNA from 1 species
UACAGAGGUGGCAAGCGUUGUUCGGAAUUACUGGGCGUAAAGGGCGCGUAGGCGGCCAUCUAAGUCAGACGUGAAAUCCCCCGGCUUAACCUGGGAACUGCGUCUGAUACUGGACGGCUCGAGUUUGGGAGAGGGAUGCAGAAUUCCAGGUGUAGCGGUGAAAUGCGUAGAUAUCUGGAGGAAUACCGGUGGCGAAGGCGGCAUCCUGGACUAACACUGACGCUGAGGCGCGAAAGCGUGGGGAGCGAACAGG